UCCUCCAUAGCUCAGUGGUUAGAGCUUCCAACCGGCAACCUGGAAGGUUCAUGGGUUUUGAUUCCCGUUGGGGGGCUUAGAA